GUAGGUGGCAAGCGUUGUCCGGAAUUAUUGGGCGUAAAGCGCGCGCAGGCGGUUCUUUAAGUCUGAUGUGAAAGCCCACGGGCUCAACCGUGGAGGGUCAUUGGAAACUGGAGAACUUGAGUACAGAAGAGGAAAGCGGAAUUCCACGUGUAGCGGUGAAAUGCGUAGAGAUGUGGAGGAACACCAGUGGCGAAGGCGGCUUUCUGGUCUGUAACUGACGCUGAGGCGCGAAAGCGUGGGGAGCAAACAGGAUCAGAUACCCUGGUAGUCCACGCCGUAAACGAUGAGUGCUAAGUGUUAGGGGGUUUCCGCCCCUUAGUGCUGCAGCUAACGCAUUAAGCACUCCGCCUGGGGAGUACGGCCGCAAGGCUG
rnacentral:rRNA from 1 species